UACAGGGGGGGCAAGCGUUGUUCGGAAUUACUGGGCGUAAAGGGCUUGUAGGUGGCCAACUAAGUCAAACGUGAAAUCCCUCAGCUUAACUGGGGAACUGCGUCUGAUACUGGAUGGCUUGAGUUUGGGAGAGGGAUGCGGAAUUCCAGGUGUAGCGGUGAAAUGCGUAGAUAUCUGGGAGGAACACCGGGUGGCGAAGGCGGCAUCCUGGACCAACACUGACACUGAGGAGCGAAAGCCAGGGGAGCAAACGGG
rnacentral:rRNA from 1 species